rnacentral:rRNA from 1 species
CCUACGGGGGGCUGCAGUGGGGAAUAUUGGACAAUGGGGGGAACCCUGAUCCAGCCAUGCCGCGUGUGUGAAGAAGGCCCUCGGGUUGUAAAGCACUUUCAGUGAGGAAGAACGCCUGGUGGUUAAUACCCAUCAGGAAAGACAUCACUCACAGAAGAAGCACCGGCUAACUCCGUGCCAGCAGCCGCGGUAAUACGGAGGGUGCGAGCGUUAAUCGGAAUUACUGGGCGUAAAGCGCGCGUAGGUGGCUUGAUAAGCCGGUUGUGAAAGCCCCGGGCUCAACCUGGGAACGGCAUCCGGAACUGUCAAGCUAGAGUGCAGGAGAGGAAGGUAGAAUUCCCGGUGUAGCGGUGAAAUGCGUAGAGAUCGGGAGGAAUACCAGUGGCGAAGGCGGCCUUCUGGACUGACACUGACACUGAGGUGCGAAAGCGUGGGUAGCAAACAGGAUUAGAUACUCUGGUAGUC